GUGGGGAAUCUUGCGCAAUGGGCGAAAGCCUGACGCAGCCAUGUCGCGUGAAUGAUGAAGGUCUUAGGAUUGUAAAAUUCUUUCACCGGGGACGAUAAUGACGGUACCCGGAGAAGAAGCCCCGGCUAACUUCGUGCCAGCAGCCGCGGUAAUACGAAGGGGGCUAGCGUUGGUCGGAAUUACUGGGCGUAAAGGGCGCGGAGGCGGACAGUUUAGUCAGAGGUGAAAGCCCAGGGCUCAACCUUGGAAUGGCCUUUGAUACUGGCGUUCUUGAGUACGGGAGAGGUGAGUGGAACUCCGAGUGUAGAGGUGAAAUUCGUAGAUAUUCGGAAGAACACCAGUGGCGAAGGCGACUCACUGGCCCGUUACUGACGCUGAGGCGCGAAAGCGUGGGGAGCAAACAGGAUUAGAUACCCCAGUAGUCC
rnacentral:rRNA from 1 species